ACGGGAGGCAGCAGUGGGGAAUAUUGGGCAAUGGGCGGAAGCCUGACCCAGCAACGCCGCGUGAGGGAAGAGGGCUUUCGGGUUGUAAACCUCUGUUUUUGGUGAAGAAUAACUGACGGUAGCCAAAGAGGAAGCCACGGCUAACUACGUGCCAGCAGCCGCGGUAAUACGUAGGUGGCAAGCGUUGUCCGGAUUUACUGGGUGUAAAGGGUGCGCAGGCGGGACUGCAAGUUGGAUGUGAAAUACCGAGGCUCAACCUCGGAGCUGCAUCCAAAACUGUAGUUCUUGAGUGGAGUAGAGGUAAGCGGAAUUCCGAGUGUAGCGGUGAAAUGCGUAGAUAUUCGGAGGAACACCAGUGGCGAAGGCGGCUUACUGGGCUCUAACUGACGCUGAGGCACGAAAGUGUGGGUAGCAAACAGGAUUAGAUACCCUGGUA
rnacentral:rRNA from 1 species